UACGGAGGGUGCAAACGUUGCUCGGAAUCAUUGGGCGUAAAGCGCACGUAAGUGGCCUGUUAAGUCGGGUGUGAAAUCCCUGGGCUCAACCCAGGAAGUGCACUCGAAACUGGCAGGCUUGAGUACUGAAGAGGGUCGCGGAAUUCCCGGUGUAGAGGUGAAAUUCGUAGAUAUCGGGAGGAACACCAGUGGCGAAGGCGGCGACCUGGGCAGAUACUGACACUGAGGUGCGAAAGCGUGGGGAGCAAACAGG
rnacentral:rRNA from 1 species